CCGCGGCGCUGUCCUCCGCCGACCCACAGGAGCGGGUGGACUUGCCCAACUGUCCCCACCGAUUUCACUCCUUGCAGGAGCCCAUUUGGGUCCCAGUUUAUAAAAUGGAUCACUCUGGGCAGUAGCUGCACAGGGGUUCGGACUGCUUGCCGUCAGCUCUCCCGGAAUCCACAGCCCAGCGGGAUCCUGCGGCCUCUGGCCACGAGAGAGCGACCUCGUGAGCUCCUGCGGGAUCCCCUCGAAGGUCCACGGCGAGCUCUGCAGCCGCUAAGGAGCUCGGGGUCCUCGCAGAACAGGAAUGUCUUUUCUUCCACCCCAAGGAGCUGGAAUCCCUUCUUGCAAGUCGGUGCCCGGGGGAGGCUACGCACGAAUCCUUCCUUGUCUUUUUCCAAGCUUAUUUCAACAAUCUGAGGCAAUCUUGGCCGCAACCAAAGAGAUUCUGACAUCUGUA